rnacentral:lncRNA from 1 species
AUUUCCAGGCCCCUUGGGCAGGGCUGGAGGGGCCGAGGAGAGCUAUUCGAGGGAAAGGUGCCCCGAGGGGCAGGAAAUUAAGUUGGGGCUGCCCGGGCGAGCUGCCAGGUAGCCGUGCUCGCCACGGCGUCUCAUGGGGCACCUAGCUAGUGGCGGGCCUCAUAGGGCGGGAAAAGAAUCGUCGCUCACACCCCAGCAAAACGUGGCCCUCGACGGUCCGUUGGAGAGCCCCGGCGGCCGUGAGCCCCGGGCAGGGCUGGACGUCUGCGGAGCCCUCGGGCACUUUGUCCCGGGCGCCUGGGGAGGAACGCGGAGCUCCCAGGGCCUUAGGUGCAACGGCUGCGCAGAGCCCAAACGAAAUGUCCCCAGUGCGGAAAAGCCGGUGACGCCCUGGUAGCAAGACCAAGAGCUUCCGAAGAACGCUGCGCCCUUAACUAGGGGGCCUCGCAGAGAUGCCUGUGUGGGCCUGCAUUGUAUAUUUCUGCGAAAUAGCGAAUGGACACGUUUGCUCAGGGUUUUUAUGGUUGCCAAAGGGGGUAAAAUUACCCAGUCCCCCAAAUCUGUGUCCCAUGAAUCCCUCUCAUAGUACCCCUCUCCAGGGGGCCAAGAGGUCCUCCAGGUCCCCGUGGGUUCGCAGCUCCACCCGCCCUUCCUCGCCCUGCAUCCCUAAGGAGAGGUGUCCGCUCUGAAGGGCUAGGGGCCAGCCAUGGAGUGAGGGGACCGGGGCUGACCACGCGCGGCACAGACAGAGGUCCUCAGGCGGGCCCUCUCCUGGACGGUGGGGCCGGAGCUGAUCUAGAAGAAAUACGGAGGGACGUGCCGAGAAGCCGCUCUCCUUCGCCGCGACCCUGGAGAGCGCCUCUCCACCCAAAGGAUCUGCCGAGCUGAGAGAUCCAGGGCGGGCGUCCGCAGCCGUGAGGCCCCCUGCGCCGCCAGUAUGGGAAGAUCCUGCCUCCUUACACCUUGGAGAACGCUGGGCGACGACUAAAGCGCCUUCCGCCGGCCUGUCACUCCAUGUGACACAGGAGCCACGUGAGACCCAGAAGAGUCCAGCGACUCGCCGCGCGGCGCACUUUAAACUCUAGCCUGAGUCUGCGACCCCUCCAGCUCUCCAGUCCCCAGCUGUUGGGGACAUCAAGCCGGAGCCCUGGGCUCUCUGCCCUGUGGGUCGCUGAAAGCAGAGACUCCUCAAACCAACCGAACCGGGCGCAUUAACCCUCUCGCCUGCACCCCGCUGCCUCCCGGUUGAGCCCCGAGGCGGCUCCAGGUAGAACCUGCUGGACUGACUGCGGCGUCCAGAAAUCUGGAGUGUGGGCUCCAGACACUCUCCACGGUUUGGCCCCGGGUCUCAACACCCAAGUCGCCUCUUCUGGCUCCUUCACCACACAGCGGGGCCUGUGGAAAGGGAGGGGCCGAGAGACCCGUCGGCGCACCACUGUCCUCGAGGGGUCCCCACCCUGUGCACUGCUGAAGCGCAGGGCGCGCCGCGGCAGGAAUGGCCCCGAGUGCGGAUCCCCUGCCCUGAGCCUCCCACUCUUGGCCCGCGCUGCGCCUACCCAGUGGCCCUGGCCCCGCAGGGCGACAGCGGCUGCUCCCUCCCAUUUGCGUCCCAGACCGCGCGGCCUCGCUUAGCUCCCGGGAGCCGACAGGCGCUUGCCCUGGUGCCAGCGCAGGGCUUCCCGGGGGCUUGGGGUAGGGGUAGGGGUGCGGGGGGGAAGGGGAGAACGUAAUUUCCUUCUGCAGGAGUCGUGGAGACGUGAGCUGCAACCAGCCACCGCGCUCUCUCCAGGCUUGUUUACCAGUUUUAGGUCAUCAUUGUGCACGAAACAUUCUUUCAUCCAAAUAAAAGCAAAUGCAGAAGAACACCUG